rnacentral:rRNA from 1 species
CUCGUAGGCGGUUCGUCGCGUCCGGUGUGAAAGUCCAUCGCUUAACGGUGGAUCCGCGCCGGGUACGGGUGGGCUUGAGUGCGGUAGGGGAGACUGGAAUUCCCGGUGUAACGGUGGAAUGUGUAGAUAUCGGGAAGAACACCAAUGGCGAAGGCAGGUCUCUGGGCCGUCACUGACGCUGAGGAGCGAAAGCGUGGGGAGCGAACA